CAGUCGCCGCGGUAAUACGGAGGGUGCAAGCGUUAUCCGGAUUCACUGGGUUUAAAGGGUGCGUAGGCGGGCAGGUAAGUCAGUGGUGAAAUCUUCGAGCUUAACUCGGAAACUGCCGUUGAUACUAUCUGUCUUGAAUAACGUUGAGGUGAGCGGAAUAUGUCAUGUAGCGGUGAAAUGCUUAGAUAUGACAUAGAACACCGAUUGCGAAGGCAGCUCACUAAACGCUCAUUGACGCUGAGGCACGAAAGCGUGGGGAUCAAACAGGAUUAGAUACCCCGGUAGUCCCUGUCUCUUAUAC
rnacentral:rRNA from 1 species